AUUGAACGCUGGCGGCAGGCUUAACACAUGCAAGUCGAGCGGGGUGAUGGUGCUUGCACUAUCACUUAGCGGCGGACGGGUGAGUAAUGCUUAGGAAUCUGCCUAUUAGUGGGGGACAACAUCUCGAGAGGGAUGCUAAUACCGCAUACGUCCUACGGGAGAAAGCAGGGGAUCACUUGUGACCUUGCGCUAAUAGAUGAGCCUAAGUCGGAUUAGCUAGUGGGUGGGGUAAAGGCCUACCAAGGCGACGAUCUGUAGCGGGUCUGAGAGGAUGAUCCGCCACACUGGGACUGAGACACGGCCCAGACUCCUACGGGAGGCAGCAGUGGGGAAUAUUGGACAAUGGGGGGAACCCUGAUCCAGCCAUGCCGCGUGUGUGAAGAAGGCCUUAUGGUUGUAAAGCACUUUAAGCGAGGAGGAGGCUCUUUUGGUUAAUACCCAAGAUGAGUGGACGUUACUCGCAGAAUAAGCACCGGCUAACUCUGUGCCAGCAGCCGCUGUAA
rnacentral:rRNA from 1 species